rnacentral:lncRNA from 1 species
GAACUCCUCGAUACGUGGCUCCACUUGAACCACAUGUACUUCUCCUGUGGGGGUGUGAGACAGCAAGGGUGAGCUCACACAUGUUCAUCGAUCAACAAGUUGUGGAGAAUAAUGUGGCAUGAACUCGCAAAAGGUUGGAGUUCAUGUGAAGUGUAAGGCUGAUCAACAAAAUAAAGGUUGAAGCUGAGCAUUGCUUUUAUAAGUUGGUCAAAAUUUUAUUAGCAGUUACUAAAUGUAAGUAAAUAUCAAACCAUAAUAAAAAUAAUAAUAGAACAAAAUUAAUAAUAAAUCCCAUGCAAAUGCAAAUGCAAAUGAUAAAUUAAGUUUAGGUUCCAUAUUUAAUCAUGCGAGAGUCCUAAGCUGCUCAUGACCGUGAGCUCGGUUAGUAUACCAGUUUUACACUCUGCAGAGGUUGUACCCUGUACCCACAAGUCGUGUAUCCCAUGUCGCUAGGAUUUGCAAGGCCCUUAGACACUACCGAGGUGAAUGGCUAGGGAUCCACUACGAGGCCUUUACAAAGUUCCACUAGCUUCCGAAAACCCACUACAGUUUAUGGGAAGAGCACUUGCAAGAAUCCCUCGCCUGACCGCCAUCGCAGUAAAAUCAACCCGACAACCUCCUUGCAUGCAACUCCCCUACUGCCCUUGCCCCUUUCGGGUAAGGUAGUCUUCCACUAGCUUUCCUAGUUAGUUGGCCAAGGGCGUCCCAUUAAACCCUUGUGGUGGCACGUGUUUCUCAAGUUAAGCUCCAUGUUCCAAUUAACAUUAAUGAUCUUGACAUUAACAUAAAUAACAUAACAGAAUAAUUGGAACAUGGAUAUAAUGAAAUAAUAAUCCCAAAAACAUAUAAAGCAAUAGCAGAAACUACCCAUGUGAUUCAGGGGUAACAAAGUAAACAAGAUAAACAGACUAGGGUGACCUAUUGGGUCUCAUCAAAAUUAAGUCUAUGCAUGAAUAGUGAUAAUAAAGAACAUUAUUGGGUAAACAAAAGUGAUCAAGGGCACAACUUGCCUGCCACUUGAGAUUCCAGUAACCAAGGUGAUCUUCAGGUGGCUCGAAAACUCUCUGCUAGUCGUAGCAAUACAAACAAACAUGGUAUAGACAAAAAUUAACAUCCCACCAAACAUAAGAACAAACUGAAUAAUAAUAAUAUACGCGAAGAUAUGAGAUCGUAGGAACGAGAACCACUAAGAUCGGAGUUACGAUUAAGGAGUUAUGAUUUUAUAGAGGAUUUAUGUGAUUAGAAUAUUAAACUAUAUCAUAAAUUGGUUAAUAUAAAUCAUAUGAGAGGUUAUUCUCUAAAUAAUUAUCUCAACUUUAAUCUAAGUUACAAAUUGACCACAUAUCCUAUUCUAGUAGGUUAUAAUGGUAACCAAUUUAACAAGACUAACCUACACACGUUAAAUAAAGAUAUAAUUAUAAAAGAAUGUGACAUGGCACAAUAAAUGUUGUUAUAGCAUAGUAUAUAUUUAUACAAGACUAAUGCAACUUGAACGGAUUAAAUCGGAGUUAUAUAUUUUAAGUUAUGAAUUUCUAAGGAUUUUAUGUGUUUUGUACAAGAUUAAAUAGGAUAUAAAUUUUAAUAUGACUUUCAUGUGAAAACAGUGGUACUAGAUGAUAAACCAUAAUAUUACAAAAUUAUAGGAAUUGGAAUGAACUAAUUUUGACUUAAUAUGAAUUUUAUAUGAAUUAUACAAGUUUCUAGUAUUGUUUUUUACUAAAAAUCAUCCUCUAUAAUUUAUUAUCUGAUUUCUCUGCCCUCUGGACUAUGCGCAGAAAUACAGAGAAGAACAGGGACCACUACGUAAAAACACAGAGACUCAGAACUCUAUGCUAUGGACUGGGGGUUUAUUUUCAAAUAAGCUGAGGGCUCAUAUGUAAACGGUUUCGGGUGAAGGGGUAUGAAUGGAUCCCAGCCGUUGGAUUAGAGACUGGCGGUACAGAGUACACCGACCCCAUCCCGAAUCGGUACGCAAUCAAGUCCGUUGGAUCGCGAUCCGAUGGAUCCAGAUUCCUCUGCCUCGUAUUAAAUCCUACGCGCCAGCCAUGCAUCGGACGGUCCAGAAUAACCAAUCCAAGCGGUACUCUAAAAACUGAUCCGAACCGUUCAUCAUAGAUCGACGGUUACCGAGACAUCCAUGCACUACCAUGAUCCAGUACGCACAUCACUGGAUGGACGACGCUCAAUCUACAACUAACCCGCGAUGGCACCUAAACGGACAGGACGGCGAUGCUAGCCACCCCACGGCGGUGCCAUUACCGGCGCACAGCCGCCCGCCGUUCCGAGCGCGAAUCCCCAAGUCCAAGUGACGGUAAAUGGAGCAGAGAUGAAGGCGAGUCAUACGGAGGCGUUCUCACCGUUGGUCAUGUCGUGGAGACCUCCACCCACGGUGGGCUGCGAACGAUGGUGAUACACAGGCGCCGAUGAGGAAUCCUGCUCGCCAUGAUUGUCCCUGACGCCCAAUCGUGCCGCAAAUGCUUCUAGUGCCCACCGG